GCUGAAGGGCCAUGAUGCACAGGUUUGCUUGUUCAACAUCUUUGCUCCGUUUUUUAUCAGUAUACAAAUAGAGGCCUGCUGAAAAAUUAUAUACAUUGUUAUAGUUCAUAGGAGAAGGUUGCAUCAGUCUUCUUAUUCCAUUUCUUGUGGAUGUUGCUUACAGGUUGUCAUAUUUCAGAUACUGCAAACCUUUUUUAUUUUCUUGAAUACUUUUUUCCUGUUUUACAUAUCUUCUUGUUUGCUGUUAUUAUUUUAAAAGCAAUGUUUUUAUUCAUGCCCUUCGGAAACUUUCUGUUGUAUCAAUGCAUAUUUGCCUGUACGAAUUCAUGAAGAUAGUCAAACCACUUUUUAGUGCAAUUUAUGCAUCAUUAUGAUCAUAGGUGGGUAAGGUAUUAUGGAAGAACUUGAAAACUUAUGUAUUUGAAACUAGGA
rnacentral:misc_RNA from 1 species